AUGGUGAUGACGUCUUCCGUUUUCCGGUGAGGCGACAGGCCGUCCCAUUCCUGACGAUCGUAUUUAUACCCUCCCCCUUCAAUAAUAGGUGCCCUCCACAGCUGCGAGUGUGACUUCUUUUGGAGUGACACUCGGUAGUGGAGGGGGAGUGCGUAGGGGGCGGUUUGGGAUUCAGCCUGAAUAUGUGCGCCACGCUGCUGUGCAGAGUGGCGGCGCCAAGGACCCGCUGUUGCUUUGCUGCUGCUUUGUUUGCUGCUUUGUGUACUGCAUGUGUACCGCUGUGCUUCGCUUCGACCUGCCGUUUAUCUGUGUCCUGCUAUACGGCUAACUGAGGCUAGCUGCUGCUAUCUCUCUGCCUCACUCGCCUGGCCUACCUCCUUCCGGUGUCAGCCGGGUUUGGACCAAGCAAGCCACAAACUGGGUUAUUUUAACUGUUUAGUUCCUUGAUUUUAAUUGUUGCUCUUUGUCUUUUUAUCUAUACCCACAGUGGUGACACAGUUUUAUUUGUUGGACAAUAAUUUGGGUUUUGUUGUCUUUUUUGUUUUGCUUUAUGACCUGUAUUGGUUAAUUGUCCAACUCGUAUUGAUUUGUUUCCUAUGUUGUUUUUAUUCUGAUUUCUAUUUUUUUAUUUUUUUUAAUAUUUGUAUUCUUGGUUAAAAUAUUUCUCUUGAUUUGGUUAUUAGUUUAGUUCUUUUUGUUUCUGUUCCUUAUUCCUUUAUUCUGUGUUCUCCACUGUUUCCCUUUUUAUGUUCCAGAGGCUGUGUACCUGUGGUCAGAACGUGGUGUCGUCGGUGGUGGUAUUCACUUGGUGACCGCUCCCUGGGCCCUGUUCCUCCCCUCCGUUGACACACCGCCACAUGGUAAGCAGACCUCUGACCCUUUGCACCCCUUUUCCCCUUGUUUUAUCAUGUUUUAAUUGAUUUUAAUUAGUUGUUUAAAUAAAGUGAUUAUUUGUACAGGAGGGAACAACACAUCUCUUGCUUCGUGACAAUGCGACACGCUCACAGCGGCAGGGCGGUUAGCUCUGCCUAGCGUAUGAGUAUCCCUUUGGGGCUUUUCAGUAACAUUCUGGCGGGUGUACAUCUUCGUGGGAAGGUGGGCGGUGAGAGAGACUUCCGUACUGGCAGUGGGUCUGUGUCUUGCAGGUGGUAUCCCCGGACACGAGCCCAGGCCCAGGAAGAAGGUGACUGGAUCCCGCAACUGCUGAACUGCGUGCUCCUUACCCCGGGCUCCCUGGAUUUUAACCACGGAUUUUAACACAGAAACUAUAGGUUUUAUUGGACUUCCACCUUGCCGGCUGUUAGUUUGGGGUCGCGGGGGGUGCUGGAGCGUAUUCCAGCUGACACAGGCGAAGGCAGGGGACACCCUGGACAGGUCACCAGUCUGUCGCAGCUCUUCUGGGGGAUGUAGAGGCUUUCCCAAGACAACAGAGACACAUAAUCCCUCCAGUGCACCCCGGGUCUCCUCCCAGUGAGACAUAACAAAAACUUUGUACAUGGAUGACAUGCCUGAGCUACCUAAAGUCCCUCCCAAAGGACUGAAGUCCUAACCUGAUCUCUAAGGAUUGUGGAUCAGUAGUAAAUGAUCAGCUUCACCUUUUGGCUCAGCAAUCCAACAACUCCAGUGAGAAGACAAUCAAGGAACCACGAUACCUCGCGUGACAUAAUGAUAUCGGGACCCUGCUCUGGAGCAAGAUCAGCUAAUUGGCGAUUAACUUGUAGUUGGACAUGAGCUACGUUGGACUGCCUUCCAGUGGACUCACUAUGUGCAGAAUGGUUCAUAAGAGCUCAGAUCAUUGUGGACUGGAUGGCAGACAAAGGUACAAUCCUUGGCUCCAGUUCACCAGAAACUGAAAAAUAUUGAUUUACCAAUCACUUUUUCUCAACCAAAGCUCCUCUAAAAUGUAUAGAAAGCAGAAAUGCUUACAUUGUCUUAAAUUUGUUAGAAUCAAAGUAGCUUGCAUUUUGAAACAUUGUGUAGGUUUGAACAGUUAAAGUCAAUAAAUGUAACACAGGAAAAGACAUAUUAAAUGCUUUAAACACAUACCAAAGACUACUGUUACUAUGAAAACAAGGCGAAAAUAAAAACUGUUCAGUUAGCAAACCACUAACAGCAUUAUGUCUGUAGAAGAUCAUAUUUCUAUGACAGGGUAACAGAGGAGAGUGUCAUCCGUGUAAUAAGACAAAAUUGCAUCGGUCAAUUGAAAAACCAACUGGUAGGCUCAUAAAAGACCACAGAUAUAUCCUUGAGGGGCCUAGAACUGAAAUUUAUUUGUGUCUU